CGAGCUUUUGCCGGUUAAAUUUGGCUAACCUGCAGAAAGCCUAUUGUCAAGCCAGCCAUGCUUCACUGAGCUCUCUUCCCUCUUUAUGGUUAAGUGAACCUCAAAACAAUGACAAAGAAAUAUGCACUGAGUCACAUAUUCUAAGAAAUAGACUGUACUCUCCUCAAAUCGAAAUAACGGCACUUUAAUUCUUGGAUUUUCCACAUUUUCGUUGGUAAAGCUCCUAUUUGCUUUCUCUGAAUCUGUAUCAGUUCAUGCAGUUCUGCCAAGUGGGGAAGCUUUGCAGGACACUGCCACUGUAGCACUUGAAAUAUUAAGAUGAACAGAACAAGCAAAAGGUGGGAAAACUGGAAAGAUUGAAUGUCCUUUGGAGUUCACAGAGGUUUGGCAGUGGGAGGAGAAAAACAAAACGAAGCAUAGUGGGAGUGUUGAACAGACUUUCCCAAGAUCCCCAGAUCCUGAAAUUCAAGAAAAUAUUUGUCAAAGUAUUAGCUGAGUGCAAGCUAAGGUAUCAAAAUAGUGAAUACACACACCAAGGAAUAAUCUUUGCAAAAAUACUUUGUCUCAAGACAAAUAGAACACAGCAGACUUUAAUAAUCAAAACAGAAACACCAACAUAGAGAACCUAAGGAACGAAGAGAAUCUGAUUUCCAAAGUCACCACAUUAUAAAAAUCAAAUGCCAAUCUUCAACAACAACGAAAACAACAAAAUUCACAAGACACAUAAAGAAACAGGAAAAUGGCUCAUUCAAAGGAAUAAAGUGAUUAAUUGGCAUAAACUGUCCCUGAGAAAGCCCAGAUACUAAAGUGACUUGACAUUUGCUCAACUAGAUAAGAGUGAGUUUCGACAAAGAAGUAAAGGAAAUUUGGAACAUAAUAUUUUAUCUAAAGGAGAAUAUCAUCAAACAAAGAAAUUAUAUAAAAGAACCACACAAAAAUUCUGGAGCUGAAAAGUACAGCAACUGAAGUUUUUAAAAUUACUUGCAGAGAUCAACAACGGAUUUGCAGAUUAGUGAACUCGAAGAUAGGAAAAUUGAAAUUAUUGAGUCUGAGGAGCAGAAGAGAAAAAGGAAUGAAUAAAAGUGAAUAGAACCUAAGGAAACUGAGGGACACCAUCAAGCAGAUCAAGGAGAAGAGAGAGGUAAAAAAGAGUGGUAAGAUAAAUAAUAGCCAAAUACCUUCCAAAUAUGAAGAAAGACAUGAAUAUACAGAUAAAAUAAGCCCAGCAAUACCAAAUUGGAUAAACCCAAAAACAUCUACACCAAAGCACAUUAUAAUCAAAUUGUUGAAAGCCAAACAAUGACAGAAUCUUAAAAGCAAUAACAGCAAGGCAAUUCAACAAAAUAAAAGGGAUGUUCAAUACAAGUAUCAGCCAAUUUCUCAUCAGAAGCCUGGAGGCAAGAAGGCAGAGAAAUAAUAUAUUUAAAGUGCUGAAAAAAGCCAGGCACGGUGACUCAUGCCUGUAAUCCCUGCACUUUGGGAGUCUGAGAUGGGUGAAUCACUUGAGUCAGGAGUUUGAGACCAGCCUGGCAACCAUGGCAAAACUCUGUCUCUACUAAAGAUAGAAAAAUUAGUCGGGUGCAGUGGCAUGCACCUGUAGUCCCAGCUACUUGGGAGGCUGAGGCAGGAGAAUCACUUGAAUCUGGGAGGCAGAGGUUGCAGUGAGCUGAGAUCAUACCACUGCACUCCAGCCUGGGCAACAGAGUGAGACUCCAUCUCAAAAAUAAAAUAAAAUAAAAUAAAAUAAAAUAAAAUAAAAUAAAAUAAAAUAGGGCUGAAAAAAAAACCGAUCAAUGAAGAUUUUUAUAUUUGGCAAAGUUGUUCUUUAAAAACAAGGGAGAAGUUGCAAAUAGUGUAAUUUAUUUACUGUUCAUCUGUGUUCCCAGAUAAAAAAUAAUAAUUUUCUUGUUUAUCUGUAUUUUCAGAUAAACAAAAGCUAAGGGAAUUCACUACCACUAGAACUGCUCUGUAAGAAAUUCUAAAGGGAAUCCUUUACAAUGAAAUAAAAAGACAAUAUGCAGUAACUUGAAGCCAUAUGAAAAUACAAUGUUCUCCUGUAAAGAUAAAUAAAUGGGCAGAUAUAAGCCACAGUACCGUA
rnacentral:lncRNA from 10 species